rnacentral:rRNA from 1 species
UAAACGGACCAUCGAGUAUCCAUUGGAGGGCAAGUCUGGUGCCAGCAGCUGCGGUAAUACCAGCUCCAAUAGCGUAUAUUAAAGUUGUUGCAGUUAAAAAGCUCGUAGUUGGACUUGUGUGCGCUGUCCGCGGGUGGCCUGCGCCCAAAAGGGCGUUUCGGUUCGGCCCCGGUGGCGCCUUGAAAUCUGCAGCUGGGGGGACGUUGGCCUUAACUGGUCGGCGACCGCACGCCGGCUGCUCGGUUACUGUGAGAAAAUUAGAGUGUUCAAGGCAGGCAUUGGGUGCAAUUGAAUACAUUAGCAUGGAAUAAUAAAAUAUGGCUCCUGCCGUAUUUUGUUGGUUUUGACUGGUGGGAGUAAUGAUUGAUAGGGACGGUUGGGGGUGCUAGUAUUGAGCGGCCAGAGGUGAAAUUCAUGGAUUCGCUCAAGACUAACUUAUGCGAAAGCAUUCACCAAGGACGUCCUCUUUAAUCAAGAUCGAAAGUUGGGGGAUCGAAGACGAUCAGAUACCGUCGUAGUCUCAACCAUAAACUAUGUCGACUUGGGAUCGGCGGUAGUUUUUUCAUUAAGACACUGUCGGGACCACGGGAGAAAUCAAAGUGUCUGGACUCUGGGGGAAGUAUGGUCGCAAGGCUGAAACUUGAAGGAAUUGACGGAAGGGCACCACCAGGAGUGGAGCCUGCGGCUUAAUUUGACUCAACACGGGGAAACUUACCAGGUCCAGAGAUAUAGAGGAUUGACAGAUUGAAGCUCUUUCUUGAUCACUUCGGUGGUGGUGCAUGGCCGUUCUUAGUUGGUGGAGUGAUUUGUCUGGUUAAUUCCGUUAACGAACGAGACCUCAGCCUGCUAGUGUAGUCGGCUGGAUUGCCUUUGGCGAUCCGUGAUUUCGACUUCUUAGAGGGACAAUCGACGCGCAGUCGAUGGAAGUUUGAGGCAAUAACAGGUCUGUGAUGCCCUUAGAUGUUCUGGGCCGCACGCGCGCUACACUGCUGGGCUCAGCGAGUUUUACUUGGCCGAGAGGCCCGGUUAAUCUUGUGAAAUCCCAGCGUGCUUGGGCUCGCCUCCUGCAACUGGAGGCGCCAACGAGGAAUUCCUAGUAGACGCAGGUCAUCAACCUGCAUCGAUUACGUCCCUGCCCUUUGUACACACCGCCCGUCGUUCCAUAAGAGUGAGGCAUCCGGUGGAUUCUCGGGAGAGCCUGGGCGU